GACGAACGCUGGCGGCGUGCCUAACACAUGCAAGUCGAGCGAGUGAAUCUCCUUCGGGAGUGAAGCUAGCGGCGGACGGGUGAGUAACACGUGGGCAACCUGCCUCAUAGAGGGGAAUAGCCUUCCGAAAGGAAGAUUAAUACCGCAUAAGAUUGUAGCUUCGCAUGAGGUAGCAAUUAAAGGAGCAAUCCGCUAUGAGAUGGGCCCGCGGCGCAUUAGCUAGUUGGUGAGGUAACGGCUCACCAAGGCGACGAUGCGUAGCCGACCUGAGAGGGUGAUCGGCCACAUUGGGACUGAGACACGGCCCAGACUCCUACGGGAGGCAGCAGUGGGGAAUAUUGCACAAUGGGGGAAACCCUGAUGCAGCAACGCCGCGUGAGUGAUGACGGCCUUCGGGUUGUAAACCUCUUUCAGCAGGGACGAAGCGAAAGUGACUGUACCUGCAGAAGAAGCGCCGGCUAACUACGUGCCAGCCGCCGCCGUAAGAC
rnacentral:rRNA from 1 species